GAUGAACGCUGGCGGCGUGCCUAAUACAUGCAAGUCGAGCGAACGGACGAGAAGCUUGCUUCUCUGAUGUUAGCGGCGGACGGGUGUGUAACACGUGGAUAACCUACCUAUAUGACUGGGAUAACUUCGGGAAACCGGAGCUAACACCGGAGGAUAUUUUGAACCGCAUGGUUGAAAAGAGAAAGACGGUCUUGCUGUCACUUAUAGAUGGAUCCGCGCUGCUUUAGCUAGUUGGUAAGGUAACGGCCUAUUAAGGCAACGAUGCGUAGCCGACGGGAGAGGGUGAUCGCCCGCACGGGAGGUGAGACGGCGACAAGGGGACUGAGGGACGCAGCAGAAGGCAAUGUGCCGCAACGGGGGAAAGCCUUGCAGAACGGCGCCGCGUGUGUGAUGAAGGUCCUCGGAUCGUGAUGCUCGGUUAUUGGGGAAAAACAUAUGUGUCAGUAGCUGAGCACAUCUUGACGGUACCUGAUCAGAAAGCCACGGCUAACUACGUG
rnacentral:rRNA from 1 species